UCUAACCAAAUUUUAUAAAACUGAACGUUUAAUCUAAUUUCAUAGCAAUGAAGCUUUUCAAAACUCAAUUUUCAACGAAUUUCAGCAAAUCCAAACCCAGUUUCAACAAAACUCUCGAAGAACAAAGUCGCAUUAGAAUUUUCAACAAAUUUCUGAGUUCUUUUCAAAGAGAAUCCAAACCCUUUUAACCAGCGCAUUUCAUCGAAACCCUUUUAUCCAUCGCAGUGACGACAACGAAGCUGAAGAAGUUAGAAUUCACUAUCGCUCAUUUCACAAUUUACCAUCGCUGAUUUCACAGUGACGACGUGCAUUGGUAAAAUAAAGCUUCAGAACAGUUAAUAGAUCAAUUGAGGAAUGAGUAUGAUAAGGUUCUUGAACACAACAAUGACUUGGAAAAUGAAUUGAUUUCUGUUAGGCUGGAUUUAGGUACAACCAUGCUGAGCCAGAUUACCUGAUGCUGGUAUAUUGGAUUCCUGAUACCCCUGAUAGCUUUCCUACAAAUGCUUCGCACCGUGUCGGUGUUGGUGCUUUUAUCGUCAAUAACAAAAGAGAGGUAAUCUUUCAUCUCAUUCAUUUCUCUCAUGUUCAAAUAUUUCUGCCUGGAAAAUGUAUGAGGAAGAACAAGAGUUUGACUAUAGACUUUUCUAUGUCAUGCAAAACAUACAUUACAAAUUUGUCUUUGUCAACUUGGUACAAAAUGAUCUUCCAAUUUGCAAAUGAAAUAACCACCGCAUGCUUCUUCUGGUCCUCACAUCGCUGAUGUUAACCUUCUUUUACCUCCCAAAAUGACUUUCCCUGUUGAAUACAAACUUCAAGGAAGUGACGGUUGCUUCAAAUGGUCAUGGGAUCAUCAUGAUAUUCUGUCUGUUUUGCCUGAGUAUAAUUCAAGCCACAAGUGCUCAACUAGUGCGAGGCUGCGAUCUAUUGCCCCUUACAGUGGUCGGAAGGAGACUGCUGUUUAUGCUACGGACGUGAAAACUGGAAUUGUGAUUCGCUGCAAGGUCUUCAUUGACAAUAUAUCCAGAAUCCAGAUAUUUCAUCAUUCUAUUAAGCUUGAUUUAGAUGGGCUUGCUACAUUGCACAUCCGCGCCUUCGACAAAGAAGGUAUUCUUCAAGUGCAUAUAUUGGAAAUUUUGUACUUCAGACCGUGGCUCUUAAGUUGCUGUAAACCUUUUUGACACGGUUGGUUUUACUAUUUUGUUGUAUUGAUUUUGCAAAAUUCUAUUGCAAAUAUGCUUCAUUUGCCAUAUUUUCUCUUGAAAUCUUUGACAUGAUGAGAGAAGCUGUCAGAAAACUUGCAUCUUUAGUAAACAAAAGAUGACAUCAGCUAUUAGACAUGAUUGCUUUUAGCUGUUUAAUUUCUUAGAUAGAAUAUGUUCACGAAGAUGGCUUGGUUACCUUUGAAGAUGGAUUCUCUACUUACGCAGAUGCCAUAAUUCACUGCACAGGGUACUAAGAGUUUCUGACAUUUUGUAUUGGGUUUGGCUGUGGAUAUUUGUUAAUAAUUUUGUGUUCUUUUUAUGAAUUUUAUUGAACUUGGACUUUGUUUGAAUUGAUUUAUAUGAGUUUAUCUACUUAGAUAGCAGCUUGUGAGAUUGUUUGUGAGAGCUUAUGAAAAUAAUUUAUGGUGUGUGCAUAGCUGUUUAAGCUACCAAUGUUACAAGCCAAGUGAUGAAAGAAAGCUUGGAAGUGAUCUUUGCGGCAAGAUCAUAGCAGACAAUGAGUAUAUUGGUUUGAAUGAGUGAAAGUUUUUCCUCAAAGACAUUGUCAACUCAGCUUACACGAUGGUGGUCUUGUUCAUGGUGAUUUAACUUUACCCGAAGAUAAAGCGGUUGAUUUGUAUGUCCUGGAAAGAGCCCUCGUUUCGAUGCAUUCUUCAUGCGGCAACAUUAUUGAUCGGAUUCUUGCUGCUUACUGCAAAUCAUCGAAGCAGUGGUCAUCCACAAUGAACAAGCUGGCAGGCGAUACUACCUUACAUCUAAUUGUUUUUAAAAUUAAGACAUUUUCUUCAAGAAAUUGUACUAACCUCCAUAUAUCUUCACAACUUGUAGUGCGACAAAGAGGACGAAAGAGGACCAUGGUUGGUUGAUUAUUUGAGUUUCAUUUCUUAUUAAGAAAACUAGUCAAAGUAGUAGACAGCUUCUAAACUCAGGAGGGUUGUGUUUUUGUUUUCUCCUUAACAAAAAAAUUGGUUAUGAUUUAACAAGAUAACCAAGAGACCACAGGGCCAAAUCAAGAAACCAGCAGUCACGGGUAAAUCAUGAACCAGUCCACUGGUUGGUCCGAUAAGGUCUCAAAAACUGUUUGAAAAUCAUUUUGAACCAGCCACACAAUCAACUUUUUAGUCCUAUGUACAGUUAGUUAGUUAUAGUUAGUUAGUUAAAACAGUUUAUAACAAACAUGAUGGUACU